ACAAAUCUUUCUCCAUGAAUUUCUAUAUUUCCCUGAAAUAGGAACAUUACAGAGAACAGACAAACAACAACAAAAAUAUCUCCAUCUGUUACAGAAGUUGAUAUUAAAGAGUAAAAGGGAAGAAAAUAUUUGCAUACCAUAAUGUUCAGGACGUGUCCAAAAUUAAGUCUUUCCGACAGAGCAAUGGCUCUCGGGACUAUAGGGAUCCUGUCAAUGUUUUCAGUUACCUGUAAAUCCACCGACAACAACUUCUGGAAAUCAACGUUUACAUCAAACAACGUUAAUCUAUUCGGAGAUGAACUGAGUUACAAUUUGAUAUUUGUAACCCUAGGCAUCAUUGAUAUUUGGGUAGGGGAGAUGAUCAAGAGAGUGUUCGUUUUCUGCGGAGAAUUUCGCUUUAUUAACAGUCGUUACGACGGUAGAAUAUCAUUCGUAGUUCAGCAAAGUUUCUGCACCAAAUCUAACAUUCCUUUUUUGACCCUGCCAAUUCUGGUAGCCAUGCUUACAUAUAUGAAUCUCCAUGGAGACGGGAUGUUAUUAGUAUGGAUGAUUUUACAAACCAAAUGGAACUGUAUUAUAAUCGUCACUAUUUCUAUGAUAGCACAUCUGCUCCGUUUAACUGAUCCCACAAGAUCAGAGAUGAGUAGAGUUAUGGAGGAGCAAAAACUCAACGUGGGCCAUGGACUUGCCUGGUCCUACUAUUUUGGAUAUCUAAGACUAAUAAUUCCAGGUUUGCAAUCACGAAUGGAUUCCUGGAAAAAGGGCAUAGAUACAACAAGAAAAUCCGUUGUAGUUCCAAAACUGUAUAUCCUGAUUCCUAAAUCCUGCUAUUGUCCGCCAUCAAUAACAGCAGCCGACCCCCAGCUAAAAGUGGCGGGAGUGACGCCAUCUUUUGUUGCGAACAGAGCGGGAAAUCAGCGCAGGGAGUACAAAAACACCGUGUACUGUUUUGAAGCAGACAAGACGGUAUGAUUCCUUUAAUACUAGUCAUUCUCUCUCCCCGUUAAUUGAAAUCUGAUUAUAUCAGGGGUGAUAAAUUCUACGCAUAUGCAUAGAAAAGUUGAGUAAAAUAGACAGCGAUCUUUAUUUUCUUGAAUGGUCUAAUUUGAUUUAAAUUUUCGAAAUGAUAGAAAUGAACAAUAAAGAAUUAUUCAUCAUUCUGAUGGAAAAACAAAUAUUUGCCUUAGUUGAAUAAUAUGGCCUUUUUCUCAUGCUGUAUGAUAUUUCAUCCAUGCAUGUUAAAAGCGUGUAUAAAUGUUAUUUCACUUUAAAUUAUGCAACAAUCCUCCUCAAAGAAAGCAUUUUAUUGUUUAUAUUAACAUUUUUCUUUUAACUAAUUCAUAAAUUGAUUAUGAAAAGUUAGUAAAAAUGCACUAAAUUACUGUUAACGUACAAAAGUACGUUAGCUAAAAGAAACAUCCAAAUUGUCUUUUGUUAGACUUUGAGUCUGACAUCAUGACUACUAGUAUUUCAUGCAGUCCAUGAUUUUUCUUAGGUCGCUGUAGGUUUUGACCAAUCGAUAAACAGUGCGUAUCAAUUUCAGUCCUGUAAGUUUCAGCCGCUGUAGAUUUCAACCAAUCGAUAAAUGGGGCGUUUAGAUGUCAGUCUGGCUGUUUCUAUAGAGCAAUGAAUUGACAAUAAGAGAAAAUCAUACUUGGUAUAGACGUAAAUGUACAAUUAUACACAUCCCCGUUAAUUUACAUAAACACGUUAGCUAAAAGAAACAGCCAAGUCGUCUCCUGUGUGACUUUGAGUCUGACAUCAUCAUGAUUUUUUAGUGCAGUCCGUGAUUUUUCUUUGGUCGCUGUAGGUUUUGACCAAUCGAUAAACAGGGAAUGUCGAUUUCAGUCCUGUUAAUUUUAGCCGCUGUAGAUUUCAACCAAUCGAUAAACGGGGCGUGUAGAUUUUUGUCUGGCUGCUUCUAUAGAGCUAUGAAAUGACUAUAAAUUUCCGGAAGAAGUAGAUAGAAUCAUACUUGGUAGAUGUUAAUAUAUCUUUGUAUUGGGAGAGGGCGGUCGAAGUUAUUGAACUUGUGCCCGAUCCCAGUUGUAUUUAUGAACAAUGAAAAUAUGUUCAAAUGAAAGCAGGUCCAACCUUUUUCUGCUAUACAGGACUACUACUGUUUGGUGGAGUAUGCCACGCCCAUUCUGUCACUGUAUGAGAUGAGUAACAGUGAGGAGGCGGGGCUGUCGUCGUUUGACAGACUGCAACAGAUGAGGACGUUUGUCGCCACCCUGCAAGAGAUCAUCAACUCUAACCCCGAAACCAAGGACAACUGCAGCCUCCUCGUCUAUGACGAUAAAAAGUUUGGCGAUGGUGAACAGUCCAUAACGAUGUUAAUCAAAGACAGAAUAGAGAAAGAUCUGAGUGACAAAGCUGUGACCAAAACUUUCUGAGACUGUGUUCUUGCUUCACACAAUUACGUAACAUUAAAACACUGAAAUAUGUAAAAAAAAAUUUGCAUGUUGUUUUUAUUUGCAUUCAUAUGUCGGUAGAUCAUGUUACAUUAGAUGUGAUCUAAUCUUAUAAACCGGUGUAAAAU
rnacentral:misc_RNA from 1 species